AGUGAACGCUGGCGGUAGGCCUAACACGUGCAAGUCGAAUGGCAGCACAGAGGAGCUUGCUCCUUGGGUGGCGAGUGGCGGACGGGUGAGGAAUACAUCGGAAUCUACUCUGUCGUGGGGGAUAACGUAGGGAAACUUACGCUAAUACCGCAUACGACCUACGGGUGAAAGCAGGGGAUCUUCGGACCUUGCGCGAUUGAAUGAGCCGAUGUCGGAUUAGCUAGUUGGCGGGGUAAAGGCCCACCAAGGCGACGAUCCGUAGCUGGUCUGAGAGGAUGAUCAGCCACACUGGAACUGAGACACGGUCCAGACUCCUACGGGAGGCAGCAGUGGGGAAUAUUGGACAAUGGGCGCAAGCCUGAUCCAGCCAUACCGCGUGGGUGAAGAAGGCCUUCGGGUUGUAAAGCCCUUUUGUUGGGAAAGAAAUCCAUCUGGUUAAUACCCGGGUGGGAUGACGGUACCCAAAGAAUAAGCACCGGCUAACUUCGUGCCAGCAGCCGCGGUAA
rnacentral:rRNA from 1 species